rnacentral:lncRNA from 1 species
AAGGGGGAAGGGACCAUCACCCCUUACCUGCCCAGCUGUGGAUGCUAUAUCUCCAGAGAACAUGGUUGGCAUGCUGGUGCUUCUGUGUUGCAGGCACCAAGGGCUGGUAGCAAGCACAUUGUGGGUCUUUGGAGGGCUCUAUGGGUCUCCUGAGUGUACAUGUCAGUAACCUGAAACCCUCCUCAUGAUGGACUUCCUCUACUUGUCUCAGCUCUUGCCAUAGUCACUACCCUCCAGCCAACUCAUCUUGACAGACCAUGGCUUGAUCUCUCUAGUGUCUAGUGAUUUAUUUGCAUAGUUUUAUCAGGAUUUGGAAAUAUGUUCUAUGAAUGCAGCUUUUGCCCUUGGAUGCUCAUAACCUAAGCAAAUAACCCAUGUCGUUUGUUUCUUCUGCCAUUUCUAGGCUACCCUCCUGUUGGUCAUUGUUCAUGCAUGUCCCUGGGUUCCCUCAUUUGGCACGAGGCUGAAACCAUCAUGGUCCACUUCCGGAAUGCAUUUUCUGUUUCUCACCUGCAUGGUGAGUGACUUCAGACAAGGACUGAGCUUUGUACUUCUCUGCUUCAACAUCGGCUAGAACAGAUUUUACACACUGAGCCUCCAUUGCUGUUAGUCCAUCAUGUGACCCAUCCUACAGUUUCCCCACAAACUCCAAGCACCUCCUUACCACAUGCAAGGACUUGGUGGUGGUUCUCAAGAAAUUGCCAUUCUAGUUGGUAAGGGAAGCAGACAGAAAGAGCUGAGAUGAGCUGGUGACACCUUCUGCUCCUGCACCAUGAGAUCCUGUUCUCUUCUAUCCUCUCUGCCCCAGUCUGUUUGAUAUUGAAAUGGAAAGAUGCCGCAGUCUGGCUGGGCACAAUCAGGAGCCACUUGUCAAAAGAAACUAACUUUAUUUUUAGAACCACACACGCCAAACAAAANGGGAAACAGCCCAAUGAGCAUCACCGCAGAGGAGCCAAUCAGCUAGAUGUUGCUGGGGCCGCUGUGAGCCAAUCAUCAGCCAGCAGCUGGAAGUUUGCUGGCAGCUGGAAGUUUGCUGGGGCCCCUUUGGCUGUGGCUCUCAACAGAAAGAUGGUGAGAAUAGAAGCUGGUAGACUGGCAGUCAAGACUUGACAUGAAACAUCUUCAGCAGUCACUUGAUAAGUGUUUGCACUGUGAAGUGUUCUAGCAACCUCAUAACUCACACUGGCAACUCCUAUAAACACCCUCUCUUCUGUUUUCCUUCACUCUGCAACUUCUCAUUCCACCAUUGAUGGAUUAACUCAGUUUAGUGUUUAUCAGAUGGACUCAGUGCCAUUCUUAUAGAGACCAAGUCAAAAAGAACAAACAAUUAUUUAUCAAAUGAAUGCCAUUUAAAAGUAUUGUGCUGGUCAUAGUAUUAGGCAUAAAGAAGAAAUAAGCUGUCACUUUUGCUCAUCCUUCAUUGACUGAUCCAUUUAUUUUGUCUUUGCACCAAAGAUUCGCGGUAUCUUAUAGCAGGAAGAUAUUUCCAGUGCUAGUUCUAUUAAUUAAUGCUUUUUUUUUUUCCUCCUGUGUUUCAAGCUUUAUCACCAAUAAUUGGCUCUUGAAAUAGGAUCUGAACUUCUUAGAGCAUUGGCCUCCCUAAGGAAAACCCAGUUACCCCGACCUGCAAUUAACUCAAUCUAUAGCAUUCUUUCUCCUUUAUUUCAUAAGCAAAGCCCUAGAGCUCAUGGUCUACACAGUGACCCACUCCCCCUACCCUGUGGACUUCUGAACCCACCACUCUGCUUUCCAUGCACUCCAUCAAAAUCACACCUGCUAAAGUCAAGGUGACUGACCAGUUGCCAAAUGCAAUGUGUGAUCUUCAGUCCUUGACUUAGUUGACAUCUCUCCACAUUCAAUUUUGCCAAUGGUUUCCUCCUCCUUGAAACUUGCUCUUCCCUAACACCACCUUCUCUUGAUUUUUUCCUCACUCCUACAUCCUCCCUUUCUCUAUCCUGUUGCAGCAGACUUUUCUUCUGUUUGUGGCUUAAAUAGGGCUGUUACCCAAGGUUCCAUACUUAGCUCUAUUUAAUUCUCAUUCUACACCCUAUUGCCAGGAAGUCUCACUUGUACCUGUGACUUCAGCUGUAACCUAUGUACUAUAUCUACAAUAACAACAUCAUUCCAUUUGUGAGGGCAGAACCUUCAUGACCUACCUCUUCACCCCUUAAAGUUUCUGCCUCUCAACACUGUUGCUUUGGGAUUGUCUUAGUUUGUUUUCUGUUGCUGUUACUCUAUUUAAAUACUUGAUAUUAGGCAAUCUAUAAAAGUUGUUUUUGGCUCAUAGUCCUAGAGGCUGGGAAGUUCAAGAGCAUGGUGUGAGGCUCCUGGGGAGGCCUCCUGCAGCUUAAACACAUGGCAGAAGGCAGAAAGGCAAAGGGGUGCUUGUGGAAGAGAGAAAAGGGAGUCCAGGCUCCUGCAAUAGCUCACCCAUUCCUUCAAGAAAGAUACCAGUUCAUGCAAUGAAGGCUCUGCCCUCAUGAAAUACCACCAUGAAGCCUCACCUCCAACACUAUCACAAUGACAAUCAAAUAUCAAGUUUCAGAGGGGGAAAACAUAUUUGAACUGCAGCAGGAAUUAAGUUUCCAACACACGAACUUUGUGGUACUCAUUCAAACCAUAGCAUGAUAUGACCAGUCUUUACAUUCUUUAUUUCAUUUAAUCCUCAUCCCAACCCACUAAGUUUGACAAAGUUACUGCCCCAUUUUACAGAGGAAACAGGGACUCUCAAAAAGGAAAGAGCUUGCCCCUUCCUCCCCCACACAUCUAGUGAGAAACCACCUGGAUUUUGAUCUCUACUUCUUUUUGUGAAAUUGAGCACUUCCCAUGUGCUACAUGCAAUAUUAAGCUUGUUUCAGAAAAAUUUUUUCAACCCUUCAAAAGUUGUUGUUAUUAUUAUAACCAACUGAAACUAAGACUCAAUGAGAAAUCGGCCAUGCUCAUGUGGCCAAAAAGUAUUGAAGACUGGGAACACAUGUGUUCCAUCUUUUUAUCUCCCCAAACUAGCACAAUACAGACAAACAGGAGAUGUUGCUUAAUAAAUAGUGUUAGGUAAAUUAAGGAAUACUGUGCAUAAAUAUAAAACAAAAUGUAGGGGCUGGGGUUGUGGCUCAGUGGUAGAGCAAUUGUCUAGCAUGUGUGAGGCACUGGGUUCAAUUCUCAGCACCACAUAUAAACAAAUAAAUAAAUAAAGGUACAUUAAUAACUAAUAAAAAUAUUUUAAAAAAUGUAAGAGAUAGUAUAGUGUGAGUUGAAGCAUGUGGCAAAGUCUGGGGGUGAAAAAUGGAAGAGAAUGAUGAGUAGGAAAAUAAAUGGCUCUUUCCUUUAGUGUUUUUGACCAGAAAGCUGGGGUGUGGUUCAGUGGUAUAGAGCUUGCCUAACAUGUACAAGCUCAAUUUCCAGCAAAACACACAAACUCACAAACACACACACACACACACACGAGCUCUUGACCUAAGACUUGUAUAUCCUGGAAAGGGUCUAGAAUACUCAUGAAACUUAGGAGAUUAAAAGAAAAAAUUCUGGUGCACUUUUGUGUCUUGAAAUAAUUUAAAAAUAAUUUUGAAGCAAUUUUAAAAAUAAUUUGUUGGCAAGUUUUUCUUUUGAAAUUUAGAAAAUACAGAAAAAUACAGAUAUACAUAGCCUCCAUCCAUAUUCUUCCCACUGUUUUUAAAAAAUACAAAUACUGGUCUUUUUUUUUUUUCUGUUGAUUUAUAUUUGUAUUACUGAAGAGCAAACCCAGGGCCCUGUGUAUGUAAGGCAAGCACUCUACCACUGAGCUGCACCCCAGCCCCAUUGAUAUAUUCUUAAAAGCACCCAAGAAAUACACAAAUGAAAUGUUCCCUUUGCACCAUAUUCUUUAAAAAUCUGCCAUUAGUCAGGCGCAGGGGUACAUGCCUGUAAUUGCAGAGACUUGAGAGGCUAAAGCAAGAAGAUUGCAAGUUCGAGGCCAGCCUCAGCAACUUAGUGAGACCCUAAUCUCAAAACUUAAUAAAAGGGCUGGGGAUAUAGCUCAAUGGUAAAUCAUCCCUUCAUCCAAUCUGCAGUACCAAAACUAAAACAAACAAACAAAACCCCCAAAUAAUAGUAAUCAUCAUCGUCAUCAUCAUCAUCAUCUGUAAAAAGUUUAAGAAUUGUUAUUCUCUGGUAGAUUGUCAUUAGCAUUGCAUAUGACUGAGCCUGUAUGUUCAAGUCUGUUCUGACCCUCUGUAUUAUGGGUGAUAGUAUGCUUAGAGCUUCCUGUGGGUGUCUGCUGGGGCACAGUUACAAUUGAUAACAGCCCGAGCAGCUACACUGCUAUCCUGAUUUAACCCCAGGGACUUAAGUGUGUUUUCCUUAGUUCAGAAUUUAAUUCCUUUAUUGGGAAACAACCAUGGUUACUAUCUUACCCACUUUGUCAAACAUAUAUACAUACAUAUAUAUGUGUAUGUAAUAAAUAUAUAUAAAUAAGCAAAUAAACAUUCAGAGAGGACAAGAAGGUCAUUUAGCUUAAAAUUUGU